rnacentral:rRNA from 1 species
CAUGGGUGGCGAGUGGCGGACGGGUGAGUAAUGCAUCGGGACCUACCUAGACGUGGGGGAUAACGUAGGGAAACUUACGCUAAUACCGCAUACGUCCUACGGGAGAAAGCAGGGGACCUUCGGGCCUUGCGCGGUUAGACGGACCGAUGUUCGAUUAGCUUGUUGGUGAGGUAAUGGCUCACCAAGGCGACGAUCGAUAGCUGGUCUGAGAGGAUGAUCAGCCACACUGGAACUGAGACACGGUCCAGACUCCUACGGGAGGCAGCAGUGGGGAAUAUUGGACAAUGGGCGCAAGCCUGAUCCAGCAAUGCCGCGUGUGUGAAGAAGGCCUUCGGGUUGUAAAGCACUUUUAUCAGGAGCGAAAUACUACCGGCUAAUAUCCGGUGGGGCUGACGGUACCUGAGGAAUAAGCACCGGCUAACUUCGUGCCAGCAGCCGCGGUAAUACGAAGGGUGCAAGCGUUAAUCGGAAUUACUGGGCGUAAAGCGUGCGUAGGCGGUUUGUUAAGUCUGCUGUGAAAUCCCCGGGCUCAACCUGGGAAUGGCAGUGGAUACUGGCAAGCUAGAGUGUGUCAGAGGAUGGUGGAAUUCCCGGUGUAGCGGUGAAAUGCGUAGAGAUCGGGAGGAACAUCAGUGGCGAAGGCGGCCAUCUGGGACAACACUGACGCUGAGGCACGAAAGCGUGGGGGAGCAAACAGGAUUAGAUACCCCUGAUAGUCCACGCCCUAAACGAUGCGAAACUGGCAUGUUGGUCUCAACUCGGAGAUCAGUGUCGAAGCUAACGCGUUAAGUUCGCCCGCCUGGGGAGUACGGUCGCAGACUGGAAACUCAAGGCAGUUGACGGGGGCCCGCCACGAGCCGGCUGCAAGCUAUGUGCAUUAAGUUCGGAUGC